rnacentral:rRNA from 1 species
UACGAAAGGGGCUAGCGUUGCUCGGAAUUACUGGGCGUAAAGCGCACGUAGGCGGCUUUCUAAGUCGGGGGUGAAAUCCUGGAGCUCAACUCCAGAACUGCCUUCGAUACUGGCGAUCUUGAGUCCGGAAGAGGUGAGUGGAACUCCUAGUGUAGAGGUGGAAUUCGUAGAUAUUAGGAAGAACACCAGUGGCGAAGGCGGCUCACUGGUCCGGUACUGACGCUGAGGUGCGAAAGCGUGGGGAGCAAACAGG